GUCCUCCUAUGUGCCCAGAUGGGAUUAGCUAGUAGGUGGGGUAACGGCUCAACUAGGCGAAGAUCCCUAGCUGGUCUGAGAGGAUGACCAGCCACACUGGAACUGAGACACGGUCCAGACUCCUACGGGAGGCAGCAGUGGGGAAUAUUGCACAAUGGGCGCAAGCCUGAUGCAGCCAUGCCGCGUGUGUGAAGAAGGCCUUCGGGUUGUAAAGCACUUUCAGCGGGGAGGAAGGCGGUGAGGUUAAUAACCUCAUCGAUUGACGUUACCCGCAGAAGAAGCACCGGCUAACUCCGUG
rnacentral:rRNA from 1 species